rnacentral:rRNA from 1 species
UACAGAGGGGGCAAGCGUUGUUCGGAAUUACUGGGCGUAAAGGGCGCGUAGGCGGCCUGCUAAGUCGAACGUGAAAUCCCUGGGCUCAACCCAGGAACUGCGUCCGAUACUGGUUGGCUUGAAUCCGGGAGAGGGAUGUGGAAUUCCAGGUGUAGCGGUGAAAUGCGUAGAUAUCGGAAAGAACACCAACGGCGAAAGCACUCUGCUGGGCCGACACUGACACUGAGAGACGAAAGCUAGGGGAGCGAAUGGG